AUUGAACGCUGGCGGCAUGCUUUACACAUGCAAGUCGAACGGUAACAGGCCUUCGGGUGCUGACGAGUGGCGAACGGGUGAGUAAUGCAUCGGAACGUGCCCAGAGGUGGGGGAUAACGCAGCGAAAGCUGUGCUAAUACCGCAUGUGAUCUGAGGAUGAAAGCGGGGGACCAGGCAGCAAUGUUUGGCCUCGCGCCUUUGGAGCGGCCGAUGUCAGAUUAGGUAGUUGGUGGGGUAAAGGCCUACCAAGCCGACGAUCUGUAGCUGGUCUGAGAGGAAGACCAGCCACACUGGGACUGAGACACGGCCCAGACUCCUACGGGAGGCAGCAGUGGGGAAUUUUGGGCAAUGGGCGCAAGCCUGAUCCAGCAAUGCCGCGUGCGGGAAGAAGGCCUUCGGGUUGUAAACCGCUUUUGUACGGAACGAAAAGGCUCUGGCUAAUACCUGGGGCUGAUGACGGUACCGUAAGAAUAAGCACCGGCUAACUACGUG
rnacentral:rRNA from 1 species